rnacentral:rRNA from 1 species
ACGGGUGAGUAAUGCAUAGGAAUCUACCUAGUAGUAUGGGAUAGCCACUAGAAAUGGUGGGUAAUACUGUAUAAUCCCUGCGGGGGAAAGAUUUAUCGCUAUUAGAUGAGCCUAUGUUAGAUUAGCUAGUUGGUAGGGUAAAGGCCUACCAAGGCAGUGAUCUAUAGCUGGUCUGAGAGGAUGAUCAGCCACACUGGAACUGAGAUACGGUCCAGACUCCUACGGGAGGCAGCAGUGGGGAAUAUUGGACAAUGGGCGCAAGCCUGAUCCAGCUAUGCCGCGUGAGUGAGGAAGGCCUUAGGGUUGUAAAACUCUUUCAGUGGGGAAGAUAAUGACGGUACCCACAGAAGAAGUCCCGGCAAACUCCGUGCCAGCAGCCGCGGUAAUACGGAGGGGGCAAGCGUUGUUUCGGAA